rnacentral:rRNA from 1 species
UGGGGAAUUUUGCACAAUGGGGGAAACCCUGAUGCAGCGACGCCGCGUGAUUUAGAAGGCCUUCGGGUUGUAAAAAUCUUUUUUACGGGAUGAAAAUGACAGUACCGUAAGAAUAAGGUCCGGCUAAAUACGUGCCAGCAGCCGCGGUAAUACGUAUGGACCGAGCGUUGUCCGGAAUCAUUGGGCGUAAAGGGUACGUAGGCGGCCUAGUAAGUUAGAAGUGAAAUAAUAUAGCUCAACUAUAUAAAGCUUUUAAAACUGCUAGGCUUGAGAGAUGGAAGGGAAAGUGGAAUUCCUAGUGUAGCGGUGAAAUGCGCAGAUAUUAGGAAGAAUACCGGUGGCGAAGGCGACUUUCUGGUCAUCAUCUGACGCUGAGGUACGAAAGCGGGGGUAGCAAACAGG